ensembl:lncRNA
UUGGAAUUAGUUUUGAUGGGGUUCAUUAGCUGAAUAAUAUGGUUUAAUUUCCUGACUUUAGAGAACAAUGCAUUAAUCAAUUCAUUUUUUUUUAGAAGAAUAGACUGGUUCUCCGAUUUCUAGUAACUGAUCACUGCAUUUCACACAUCAGAUGACUUGUCAUGGGUCAUCUUCACACUACUGUUUCAACUCUGCUCUAAGAGGAAGUGGGUGAAUGGGGCGGAGGAUGGACAGGCAGUGGCGGCAGGGGGGUGGGGGCAGAGCAGAGCCACCUACCCUUAAAUACACAUCUAGAUUUAAAGCGAAUUUAAUAAGUGUGUGAGCAUCACCAGAUCAAACUCGAGAUACCCCCAGAGAGAGGAGAGGAACUUGCGGAGAAGAUGGAGAUGAAGAUGCGCUGUGUGUGCUUGGUCCUGGGGCUGGUCCUGCUGAUGACCGUCUCCUCAGACAGUGAACCUCAUGGUGAUGGCCAUCCUGAUGAGUGCUGUUUCACCUUCAGCGAUAUUAAAAUUCCCCCCAAACGAAUCAUAAAAGUGGAAAAAACAAGUUCUGACUGCCCACAGCCAGGCUACAUGUGAGUACCUACCUUCAGAAGAAGUUCGGCAGAUAAGAUUGUCUUGACUUUAAACUAAAUGAGGUCAGUUCUAAAUCACUAUAGCUGCGACUGACUGUUAUCUGUGUUUUUCAGUGUUACUACGGUCAAGAACAAGUUCUGCAAGCAUGACAUAAAGGAAUUGACCAUUUGAAGACUAUAUUCCAGCACUGCAGCUUCUAUGUAACCCAAAUGCAACAUCUAAAGUGCAUGAAAAGUUGAUUUGCUCCUAUAUUCACCAUAUUGUGAAUUAUACUAUCGAUGCUUUUUACUGCUGUGGAUCCAAAUAACAGAAUAAAAUGAUGCAAGUGAACCGUUUCCAUCGUCUCAUUAUUACGAGUAAGACAGCAGC